rnacentral:snoRNA from 1 species
UGCAUGCCAAUGACGUAUUCUUUUUGGAACUGAAUAUAAGUGCUCCAACUCAAAUAUUCAUUACCAACACUGAGAACAAUGAA